UUUAGGAGACAAAUUUUUACCUAUAUUUGAUUUGGUGCUGCUUUCUAGAUAAUCUAUUUUUUCUAAGUAACUACACAUCAGUUUGAACUUAGUCAAAUGCAGAUGGAGAAUGUGAUCUUGAUCUAGAAGAUAUGAUUCCUUUGGAAUUAAUUGUAAAACAUAUGUGUAAGGGAAUUUCAUUAUACUAUUUUAGUUUGCUC
rnacentral:lncRNA from 1 species